UACGUAGGGGGCAAGCGUUGUCCGGAAUCAUUGGGCGUAAAGAGCGUGUAGGCGGCCAAGCAGGUCCGUUGUGAAAACUGGAGGCUUAACCUCCAGACGUCGACGGAAACCGCGUGGCUAGAGUCCGGAAGAGGAGAGUGGAAUUCCUGGUGUAGCGGUGAAAUGCGCAGAUAUCAGGAAGAACACCAAUGGCGAAGUCAGCUCUCUGGGACGGUACUGACGCUGAGACGCGAAAGCGUGGGGAGCAAACAGG
rnacentral:rRNA from 1 species